rnacentral:rRNA from 1 species
AUUGAACGCUGGCGGCAGGCCUAACACAUGCAAGUCGGACGGUAGCACAGAGAGCUUGCUCUUGGGUGACGAGUGGCGGACGGGUGAGUAAUGUCCGGGGAUCUGCCCGAUAGAGGGGGAUAACCACUGGAAACGGUGGCUAAUACCGCAUAACGUCGCAAGACCAAAGAGGGGGACCUUCGGGCCUCUCACUAUCGGAUGAACCCAGAUGGGAUUAGCUAGUAGGCGGGGUAACGGCCCACCUAGGCGACGAUCCCUAGCUGGUCUGAGAGGAUGACCAGCCACACUGGAACUGAGACACGGUCCAGACUCCUACGGGAGGAAGCAGUGGGGAAUAUUGCACAAUGGGCGCAAGCCUGAUGCAGCCAUGCCGCGUGUAUGAAGAAGGCCUUCGGGUUGUAAAGUACUUUCAGCGGGGAGGAAGGCGGUGAGGUUAAUAACCACGCCGAUUGACGUUACCCGCAGAAGAAGCACCGGCUAACUCCGUGCCAGCCGCCGCCGUAA